UUUGUAAUAAUAUGUGUACAUUUCCAAAAAAAAAAUUGAGAAUACACUACAAAUAUCAAUUAGUUUUAAUAAGUGCAAUUAUUAAAGAAGUCAACUCAAUUAUAUUGGUGACGAAACUAACAACUUAAAAAAAUCAAGUAAACAGAGCGGAUCUGACAUCAUUCCUUCCUUGACGGUUUGGGAUAUUCUGAGAAAGCGGGCGGGAAUGGCCAUACUGACGACGGGCACGGCACAGCCGAUUGAACUGACCUUCAACCUGACCAAUUGAAAACAACUGUUCAAGAAGAGUGGAGAGUGCAUGACUGUUGGAGCCGCAGAAAUGCACACUUGAACCCAGACCACCACCAGCUUGUUGCAAGAUCCUUGCCCUGUGAGCUACUGCUGCCCCCCAUUUAA